ACCAUGACGCUACCCAGACUGACUUUGUCUUUCUUUAUGCGCUUGGUCUCCUUCCUCUCUCCACCCAUUGGUUCUUUUAGGAGGUGCCCCCUCGGGUCCCACCAAAUUACCUGACCUGCUGGACAGGUCAAAUGGCGCCCAACGUGGGGCCCGAGGCGCGGUGACCUGCCGGACAGCGGACAAACACGGAGCUCCUGGACACAUGAGGUAGAGACGUCCGGACCGCAUCGCUCGUGCACCCCGGAAAAAGUCUUGAGAACCUACUUUAAAAGAUGACCUCCCCUUUGCCUGCCUGUCUCAUCUUCUGGACCGUGCUGAUGCCAGUUGUUGCCAAGACUAGCCCCCCUGUGCCUGUGAAACAGACAUGGUCAAUUGUAAACCCUAACACUGGAGAAGUCGCUAACGCCACCUCUUCUACUCUUUACCCACCAGGAGCCUGGUUUCCAAACUUGUUUGUAGAUCUUUGUGAUAUUAUAGGGGGAGAUUGGGACCCUUCCGAUCAGGAGCCUUUCCCUGGGUAUGGUUGUGCUAGCCCAGGACAAAGGCAUAGUACUAGAAACCAACAAUUUUAUGUUUGCCCUGGCCAUAGUCGAUCCAAAUCCCAACUUAAGAAAUGUGGUGGACCGGGGGAUGGUUAUUGCGCUGCCUGGGGAUGUGAAAGCACUGGAUCAGUUUGGUGGUCCCCUCCCGUUAAUGACCUUAUAAAGGUUGAGGCCUGGGAUAGAAGCAUGCAGGGAACUGGCACUUGUGGCCGGCAGGGGGCUUGUGGACCUUGCUAUGACUCUAAAAAAUGGCCGUCCCGAUCAUGGGCAACACCAGGUGGUCGCUGUAAUGGGCUAAAAGUCAGCUUCACAAACCAGGCAAAAUCAAUUGACCUGAUUAAGUGGAUACAAGGCCUCUCUUGGGGGCUUCGUCUGUACCGAACUGGGUAUGACCCAGCUACAACUUUUACCAUUCGACUACAGACGGAACCCCUUGCCACAGCUAUUGGGCCAAAUCUAAUCAUCGCUAAUUAUCAAAACCCAAAAACUUCAAAAGCCAAUACUAAAACACCUAAACCGCCUAGUUCAAAUUCAUCUUUACCCUCCCCUUUUGCCAACCCAGGCAUUGCCAACCCUAGCUACUGACCAGUCCCGUGCCAAAAAUAGACUUUUUAACUUAAUACUGGGGGCUUUCGCAGCCCUAAAUGCCUCAGAUGCCAACCGAACCCAAAAUUGUUGGCUGGAGGGAAGAUCGGGACCGUGAGGCGCUGGGCCAGCUGGGCUGGUCUGUUGCAAGAACCGUUGGACAAAAAAGAUCUCGCCCUAACCCCGUUAUUAAAAUGUCCUAUCUACCCCGCCCUUCCUCCUAGUAUUUCCCCUUCUACCUUUAUAAAAGCUUAAGUUUCUUCACCAAUAAACGAGACCUUGACGCUA